rnacentral:rRNA from 1 species
UACAGAGGUCUCAAGCGUUGUUCGGAAUUACUGGGCGUAAAGCGUGUGUAGGCGGUCCUCUAAGUCGGGUGUGAAAGCCCUGGGCUCAACCCAGGAAGUGCACUCGAAACUGGAGGGCUAGAGUAUCGGAGAGGUUGGUGGAAUUCUCGGUGUAGAGGUGAAAUUCGUAGAUAUCGAGAAGAACACCGGUGGCGAAGGCGGCCAACUGGACGAAUACUGACGCUGAGACACGAAAGCGUGGGGAGCAAACAGG